rnacentral:rRNA from 1 species
AGAGUUUGAUCAUGGCUCAGAUUGAACGCUGGCGGAAUGCUUUACACAUGCAAGUCGAACGGCAGCACGGGAGCUUGCUCCUGGUGGCGAGUGGCGAACGGGUGAGUAAUGCGUCGGAACGUACCGAGUAAUGGGGGGAUAACGCAGCGAAAGCUGUGCUAAUACCGCAUACGCCCUGAGGGGGAAAGUGGGGGAUCGCAAGACCUCACGUUAUUCGAGCGGCCGACGUCUGAUUAGCUAGUUGGUGGGGUAAAGGCCUACCAAGGCGACGAUCAGUAGCGGGUCUGAGAGGAUGAUCCGCCACACUGGAACUGAGACACGGUCCAGACUCCUACGGGAGGCAGCAGUGGGGAAUUUUGGACAAUGGGGGCAACCCUGAUCCAGCCAUUCCGCGUGAGUGAAGAAGGCCUUCGGGUUGUAAAGCUCUUUCAGCUGGAACGAAACGGUACAUCCUAAUACGGUGUGCUAAUGACGGUACCAGCAGAAGAAGCACCGGCUAACUACGUGCCAGCAGCCGCGGUAAUACGUAGGGUGCGAGCGUUAAUCGGAAUUACUGGGCGUAAAGCGUGCGCAGGCGGAUUGUUAAGCAAGAUGUGAAAUCCCCGGGCUUAACCUGGGAAUGGCAUUUUGAACUGGCAGUCUAGAGUGUGUCAGAGGGGGGUGGAAUUCCCGUGUAGCAGUGAAAUGCGUAGAGAUGUGGAGGAACACCAAUGGCGAAGGCAGCCCCCUGGGAUAACACUGACGCUCAUGUACGAAAGCGUGGGUAGCAAACAGGAUUAGAUACCCUAGUAGUCC